rnacentral:rRNA from 1 species
AGUUCGAUUACGGCCUGAUUGAACGCUGGCGGGAUGUUUUUACAUGUAAGUCGACUGGCACGGACUUGGUCUGGUGGCGAGUGGUACGAACUGGUAUAACAACGAACGCCUAGCGGGGAGAAUUACGCGAAAGGUAGCUAAUACCGCAUACGGCCUUCGGGGGAAAGCGGGGACCUUCGGGCCUCGCACUAUUAGAGCGGCCGAUAUCGGAUUAGCUAGUUGGUGGGGUAACGGCUCACCAAGAAGACGAUCCGCAGCUGGUCAAGAGGAGGACGACCGCCACACUGGGACUGAGACAUGGGCCCAGACUCCAAGCGGAGGCAGCAGCGGGGAAUUUUGGACAAUGGGAAACCCUGAUCCAGCCAUCUCGCGUGUGCGAUGAAGGCCUUCGUCAAAGCACUUUUGGCAGGAAAGAAACGGCACGGGAUAAUACCCUGGGCAACUGACGGUACCUGCAGAAUAAGCACCGGCUGAAUCACGUGCCAGCAGCCGCGGUAAUACGUAGGGUGCAAGCGUUAAUCGGAAUUACUGGGUAAAGCGUGCGCAGGCGGUUCGAAAAAAGAAAGAUGUGAAAUCCCAGAGCUUAACUUUGGAACUGCAUUUUUAACUACCGAGCUAGAGUGUGGUCAGAGGGAGGUGGAAUUCCGCGUAGCAGUGAAAUGCGUAGAUAUGCGGAGGAACACCGAUGGCGAAGGCAGCCUCCCGGGAUAACACCGACGCUCAUGCACGAAAGCGUGGGGACAAAACAGGAGAUUAGAUACCCUGGUAGUCCACGCCCCAAACGAUGUCAACUAGCUGUUGGGGCCUUCGGGCCUCUUGCGGGCGCAGCUGAAUUUGCGUGAAGCGAUCCGCCUGGGGAGUACGGUCGCAAGAUUAAAACUCAAAGGAAUUGACGGGGACCCGCAAUGCUGGUGAGAUGAUGACGAAUUGAUGCAAAUCGCGAAAACUACCUACCUCGAUGUCUGAAUCCCGAAGAGAUUUUGGGGAGUGCUCGCAGAGAACCGAACACAGGUGCUGCAUGGCUGUCGUCGAAGCCCGUGUCGAGAUGUUGGGCGUAAGUCCCAAUUACGCAACUCCUUUGUCAUUAGCUGCUACGAAAGGACACUCAAUGAGAUCGCUGGUGACAAACUGGAGGAAGGUGGGGAUGACGUCAUGUCCUCAUACUCUCAGCGUAGGGCUUCACACGUCAUACAGCGGUCGGGACAGAGGUCGCCAACCCGCGAGGGGGAGCUAAUCCCAGAAACCCGAUCGUAGUCCGGAUCGUAGUCGCAACUCGACUGCGUGAAGUCGGAAUCGCUAGUAAUCGCGGAUCAGCAUGUCGCGGUGAAUACGUUCCCUGGCCCGGUACACACCGCCCGUCACACCAUGGAGUGGGUUUUACCAGAAGUAGUUAGGCCUAACCGUAAGGGAGGGCGAUUACCACGGUAGGAUUCAUGACUGGGGUGAAGUCGUAACAAGGUAA